rnacentral:rRNA from 1 species
CCAAUAGCGUAUAUUAAAGUUGUUGCAGUUAAAAAGCUCGUAGUUGAAUUUCGGGAUCAAGGGAUCGGUCAUGCCUUGGUAUGUACUGGUUUCAUUGGUUCUCACCUUCUAAAGAACCAUGAUGUCAUUCAUUUGAUGUUAUGGGGAAUUAGGACUGUUACCUUGAAAAAAUUAGAGUGUUUAAAGCAAGCUUACGCUUGAAUACAUUAGCAUGGAAUAAUGAAAUAGGACAUCCGAUUCUAUUUUGUUGGUUUCUAGGAUCGAUGUAAUGAUUAAUAGGGAUAGUUGGGGGCAUUAGUAUUCAAUUGUCAGAGGUGAAAUUCUUGGAUUUAUUGAAGACUAACUACUGCGAAAGCAUUUGCCAAGGAUGUUUUCAUUAAUCAAGAACGAAAGUUAGGGGAUCGAAGACGAUCAGAUACCGUCGUAGUCUUAACCAUAAACUAUGCCGACUAGGGAUCGGAUGAUGUUUAUUUUUUAGUGACUCAUUCGGCACCUUACG